UACGGGGGGGGGCAAGCGUUGUUCGGAAUUACUGGGCGUAAAGGGCUCGUAGGCGGCCAACUAAGUCAGACGUGAAAUCCCUCGGCUUAACCGGGGAACUGCGUCUGAUACUGGAUGGCUUGAGGUUGGGAGAGGGAUGCGGAAUUCCAGGUGUAGCGGUGAAAUGCGUAGAUAUCAGGAAGAACACCAAUGGCGAAAGCAGCUCUCUGGGACGGUACUGACGCUGAGACGCGAAAGCGUGGGGAGCGAACAGG
rnacentral:rRNA from 1 species